GUUCCGCUGUCUUGGGAAACUAAGUGCCUGGAAUACAAGAGCUGAGGUCUAAUUUUUUUCUCUAUUUCCUAUGACAAAUGAGUGAGGAGUGUGAGGGCUAGGUUGCUAUUGCUUGAGUUGUUCAGGAGACCAGCUGCAGUGUCCUGUCCUAGCUAAGGUUUGCUAACAGUGAUUGCUGUAUGCCCAAGUAAAUUGCAUUGUUUUAAUCCACUUAGGUUAUGACUAAGGGACUUAAUACUUAGGCAUGGUCAUAAUUCACAAAGAUGGGAUAGUUAUGUUAGUCCUGCCAAAAGGGUGAAUUCAGUUGAGAAAGGCAAAAAUAAGAGUACAGAUGCUAUUGCAGCUGGACGCAAUGUAUAAAUUUAAUAUACAGAGCUAAUACAUUCAAAGGGAACAGACAGUCUCUUUUCACAGAAUUCCUUUUGCAGAUCUCAGUUUCAUUUUGCAGCCCAUUUCCAUCUCCAAUUACAAAUGUAGCUCUGGACUGUGAUUUUAUCUCAGCCUAAACUUAACUCCAGGCUGAUCUCUAGGUCAGGGACCACACUGUGCUGAGAGACUAAAUACUGCUCAGAGGAAAUAUUAGCAUCAUCCCUUAGUUUGCUUUGAGUUGUACUUUCUAACCCACAUACAUACCCUUUUGCUGUUAACGCUGACCUUGGGCUCAUUCAUAGGCAAGUCAUAGUGACUCCAGCUCUUUCCCAGGUCUCCUCCCCAACACACACACACACAAAAACCUGCACAUUUGCUGGUUCUCUAAAAAAUCUGUAAAACUAGAACUGAAAUAUAGCAAAGAUAUGACCUAUUGUCUAGGUGGAUAGAAGGUACCUAUAAUAACUACUGACACAUUUCUGUUACUUUAAUGCAUACCUUAAAAUUGUUUUUGAAAGCCAAGGUAAGUCAUGGAGAGAUGAGAAAAAUGGGCUAAAAUGUAAUUUAGAAAAAGGUGGGCUAGACCACAGCAAGCUGCUUUCUUUCCUUUAUAAGAUGUUCUUUCUUGGUAUAAAAGAAAAUGUGUUAGGUCCGAUACGUAUUUCAGUAAAUCAUGAUACCAAAAUGAUCUGAUUAGUUGAAGAAAGAGGAUGUAGUGAUUAUUUACAAGAAUCUGAAGCCAAAUGAAAGGAGACUAGCCUUACCCAGUGUUUUUGUUAACAACCUUAAAAAGAAGAAAUAGGUAAGUGAAAUUUAUUGCUGAUACAAAAUUGUGAGGUCUUAGUAGUAUCAGAGAGUACCAGAAUAUUAUGAAAGAAGAACUGGAUGACCUUUAGCAUAGAGUUAAUAAAGACAAGAAGAAAUCCAACAGAGCAAAGCAAAAAGUUUGUGUACUUUGUUGUUCUGUAUAAAGUAGGAAUAACUGGAUGCACUCACACGAGAGGAAAAGGAAAACUUUACUAUUCCUCACUCACAAAAUGACUCAAUCGAGAAUGUAGUACAGCCAUGAAAAAGCAAAAGUCUUUCUUGGAAGUAUUAAGGGUGGUAUUACUGGUGAAGGUAAGGAAAUAUGCAAGUUGCUGUACAUGUCAGUUAAGACAUCACCCAUCAUCAUAUCUGCAGCUUUUAGAAUUAUUGCUUAAGCAAGAUUUAUUCAAACCGGGACUGGAUUACAGGAAAAGAGAAUAUUUGGUGAGUUAUACUAAAAGACUUCAAGUUUUUUAAAUAGCAACUUUCAGAACAGUUUCUGCUCCAGGAUGGGAGACCAGCUGAAACAAAAUAAAAAGUUUGGGCAGAAACAGUUAGCUGAAACGUCUUCCUGUGUGCAGGGAUGGGGGAAGGCAAAUAAUGAACAGCCAGACUUCAACUGAGGUUCCAGAGCAGGAAUAUGGGGCACCAUCUGUGAAGACAGGGUUUAAAUUUAUGAAUGGCAUUAUGCUGUGUUAUAAUUAUGUGUAAAUUAUACCUGUUUAUGUUAGGUGCUAUAGAGUCUCUGUUUCUGGGUUGAACAGAAUGCAAAGAACAGUACAGACAUAACUUCAUUAUGAAUUAGAAGUAAAAUGUGUUUUGGGUUAUGGAAAGAGAUUUUUACAAGAAUGAUUUCCAAUGAGCUUGUGUUUGAGGAACAGGAUGACAUUUCUAGCUCUGCCAAUUAUAUCCUGUUUGAUAAUCUAUACCGUGCUUAUUUCUCUGUCGAUUAGGAAUAACAACAUAAAAUGAGAGUAAAUUAAUUCUCAUUUUAAAAUGCUUUUAUAUAUCAAGAAAAUUCCUAUAAAAAUAGGUAUGGCAAUUAAUUUGGGAGGGGAGGAGGGAUUUCUUCUGUCUGUCGUGUCUUUGCAGUUUAUUGACUAAUCUGUGUUUUUAAUCUCAUUCUGAAAUACACCCUGUAUUUUAACAGUUUAUUGCAAACAUGUUUAUUCUAUCUCAUGGUCACAGUCUCUUGCUCUCUAAAAGCAAUGGAAAUUUUACUGACAUUUUACUAAGGAACCUGAUGUAGGGGGUGGCAUCACUGCCUAUGGAAGGGGGGUUGGAACUAGAUGAUCUUUGAGGUCCCUUCCAACCCAGGCCAUUCUAUGAUUCUAUGAUCAUUAGGUUGUAUUUCUCCUGUUCAUAUGUAUGGAAGUUCGAUAGACAAUUUUGUCCAGGUCAAAAACUUUGGGGAGCUUAAUGCAGUGAGCUUGGGAUGGUUGAUGUGGCUAUUGAAAGCCUAGAGAUAAAGUUUUGCUUUGCACAGCAUGCCAGCUAACAGUUGCAACUCAGGUCAGACAUCAGCUCUAACUGUUAUAUGGAAAUCAUGUCCGUAUGGUGAAGGAAUCAGGUAGUUUGUACUCACAACUAAAUGUGCUGUACUAUAUGUAAUGGCAAAUCUGUUACUAGAGAAGGUAUGGAUGCAUCAUUAUUAAGGCAUUAAAACCAUAGCAACAAAACACCACAUUAUUAGUAUUGAUGGAGGUGAAUUGUCAGUUCACGUCAUUUGUUAUGCUUUGCUGCUGGUAAAGGUGUUUGAGUACUGCAUGCUCUAUAGCUUAGUGACCUGGAGAGACAUGGAUUUUCACACAGUGUCUCCAGUUUACUUCAUAGGUAGCAGAAAGAAAUGGCCUGAGGAUUUUCCUAGCAUCUGUCAUUUAAGGAAAAAAAUGACUCCUCUGAGCUCCGUCCCUUCUUCACCUGCUCUCUUGACUCACAAAGUGCCAUCUCUACACUGACAGAAGAAAAGCCCUGUGAAAAGAAAAUACCAAAAUGCAAAUUCUUACAUUCUGCCCUUGUGGAGUGUUCACUGUUAUGCUUCCUCCCAAGGUUUUGGGUUUUGUGCCUUAGUCUGGAGGAAAAGAGAACUGGUAUAAUGUUUAGUGAGCAAAGUGAGCUUUGGUGAGGUUUUUCAACAGACAGUCUACCGACUGUCCAGUGUAUUUCUGGGACACAGUGAGAGCAAGGGAUUGGGGCUAAAUGGAUUGUGGAAGAUGACCUCAUGAUAUUUAAGAGAGUCUGAGUUUUGCUAGAUGAUUUAUAUAAGAGAAGUUGCUUUAUUUUAUUUAUUUAUUUGGUUAGUUAUUUGUUUUUUCCCCCAUAGCUAUGUUUAUAGAAACGUGGGCUGGAAUUCGAAGACUUUGUUUAAAAAAAAAAAAAAAAAAGAAAAAAGACCUAAUUCACGUUAAUAAGACAUUACCGCAAAUCUGCUGUAAAGUGGACAUUUAUCAGCAAUGUGAAUGAAAAGUCCUAUCAACUGCAUCUGAAGAGGUACAGAUAAUCCUAGUGGAUACAGUGCAACGUUGCAAGGUUAUAACAUGCAGCUAAAUAAAUGAUAGUAAAACUAGACUGAAUUUGUUUAAAAGACUGUCUUGUUUUCCAAAUAUGAUUUUAAAGGCCAUUUUGUUUGUCUUUCACAAAACCUUCUAUUUGUCUUUGGAAGGCUGACUCUGGACACAAUAAGCAGAGAUUGUAAGCAGAGAUUCUUAUAUAAUUAGUGAAAAAUCUUCCAUUAACAUGAAAGGUACCAAGUUGUUUCAUGAGGUGUUUCUAAUAUUUUCAGAAGAAAUAUUUCUGCUCUGGAUGAAGGCAAGAAUGGCAACUGCACCUGUGGUGGAUGACCUGCUUUUCAGAUAAAAUCAUUUUCAGAUUAAAACUGAGGGCACAGCUACUAUGCAUGCAGAUAAGGACUAGAUUAUUCCCAGAAGGCUCCUUCUUUUGCUCCUAAUUUCAAGAGGAAAAUGUCAUCAACACUAUUCACUACUAUAGAUAUGAGAAAAACUGAGAAAGGACAAAUCCUCCAGAUGAUGAAGAGGUGUAGGAUUGAAAGAGAAAAUUAGUGCAGAGAGCAGAUCAUAAUUCUUUUGAUAGGCAGGGGAAAAUGGCUGUUUUUGCUCAAUGCUAUCCUAUCCUAAUAUUAUUUUUUAGCUGAUUUAAACAUUUAAUGACCACAAUGUCUUGCACUCUGAGACCUCAAAAAUACUUCUGUUUUCUUUCCCCAGUUCAAAGCAUGUGGUUUUCAAAGUAUUAUAAAUAUGCUAAAAGAUUCAUCAGCCCAUUUUCUACCUCUAUAAUGGCUUUGUCUAUAUGUAAUGAAGUGAAAAAAGUUAUUUAUGGAAUCAAGAAAAAGUGAAAAAAAGUUUGAGGAUGAUGAUUUUUGCUAAUUUAAUUCUAACUUGCUCUUUGAAUCUUUCCUCCUUUCGUUUUCAUGUAAUAGCAGUUUAUUUACUAUAGCAGUAUAUUACUGCAAUAGUAGAUAUCUAAGUGUUUUCUUCUAACCUAAAAAAAAAAACAACACCAACAACAAAACAAACAAAAAAACACAUUCAAAGGAAGUAGAAAAUUCAAGGUGUGCUCCUGCUACUUUUUGGGCAACACACUAGAGGUGUUUGCUCCACUUGUGCUUGCUAUUUGCGUUAGAUGAGAGAACUGUCUGAUCGACAUCUACCUGCAGGUUCCAGAGUGUUGCAUUUCACUUCUGCUGAGAGAAAAACGCCUCCUGCACUAUCUGAGGUAUUCUCUGUUAUGACUCCUUUAGUUGUGUUUUAGAGUGUUGCCAUUGCAUUUGGCAAAAACAGGCUCAAGAAGUUUAUUUUGACACUGAAUUUUCUGAUGUUUUUGAUUUCAUAUCCUCAGAAACUCCCAAGUUCCUUGUGGUUUUGUGGGUUGUUUUCAUUUAUGACAAUGCUGUUGUGCUCAUCAGAGACAACUUUUCAUUCUUCCUAGAGCUCCAAGCAUUUCAAUUUUUACCAGAACAUGUGUUCUGCUGCACAAAGCUGAUCAAUAGCUACCUUGUGAAUAAAAAUAUAAGCCAACUUUGUGAACAUUUCUCAUAAAGUUCAACUUGGUUACAAUUGUUGGGAUGUUUUAAACCACUGUUUAUAUGCACUACAAAUACCUUUAUAAUUAGAAUCCAAUUAUGAAAAUGGAUACAGUAGUAAUGGACAUACCACUUAAAAUAAUAAAAAAUAAAAAGGCAAGAAAAAGAAAAUAGUUUUUUCUUUCAGGCUGCUUAAGUUUCAACUGGGAGUUUAUCCAAGAGGAACCGUGAAACAUCUGGCAAGCUGAGUUGAGUACCCAUGGUUCUGAAAUCUGAAACAUCCAUCUGAACCGAGGAUGUCAAAACAGCGGAGGAGUACUGGCAUUACUUUGUGGCUGCCUUACCAUGAUCUCAUGGACACUGGACACUUCAACUGGAAUAAGGAAUGCUAACAUAUAUUUCCUGUGCUGAGGUGUGCUGUAUUUGUGAGGCAGAAACUGAGUUCUGACUAAAAGGAGAGAGGAAUGAUCUCAGCAAAAGAAUGAAGAGGGAGAAGAAAACAAGACUCGUUCAAUCAUUAGGGGUUAGUGCUGCAAAGCUGCUCUGCAAAACAGAAAUGGAAUUGCAGAAGGACAUUAGGAAGUACAAGACUGCUUGUGGUCCUCCUGUUUUGACUCAGAUGUAGAACGACAAAUCCUUGGACAACAGAGAUAAUUAAAGAUCCAGUGAUAUUUCUGAAGAAUAAUGGUGCCAAUCCUUCAUCUUCAUUGGUUAAAUGCGGACAUCCAUGCAAUGACCAAAGUGAAACUAAUACUUUGUAUGACAAAAUAAGGUGGUGGCAUCUGUGCAAAGCAAGUGUCUCUGUUAUCAUCCUUCUCCCAAAUCCGUUAUAAAGAGUGUGAAGUAAGUAGUCCAGAGGGACUUAGCUGUACUGAUCGGGUGCUGAUUACAGUUCGGGUCUGCUAACUUCUUUGAUGUGCCAGCAUCCACAGCCUGUGGAUAAAAUAUGAUAAUGACAUCUCAUGAUUGGAUCAGGCAAUUCUCUUUGUGUACAGCCAAAGCAGAGCCAACAAGUCCAUGUUGAGAUACAACAAUAAACAGUGUUGUCAUUUUGUGCUACCCUUACUCAUCCUGCAAAUGCUUUCCUGCAUGUGCUUGUUAGCAGGGGCAAUAUUAAUAACACUGGGAGUAUACCUCUGACACGCUACAUGCAAAAAGCAAGGGCUAUCAGACUUUGUGACUGUUUCAGACAGUGUAACCACAAAUAAUCAGUCUGAGGGGUUGUGUACCCAGUAAAACAAUGGAGUGAGGUAAAAAGGCAUUGUGUACACAAAGUAGUUUCAGCUAAUUAACACAGCUUACAAAAUAAGAGCAGAGAUGUGGUAACCCAUGCUUUGUCAUGUGUCAGUACCAAGGUUAUGUAUUCAAUACUCUCCAAGAGUUUAUAUUCUCUAAGAGUAGCUAGCACAUGUCAAUGUCUCUUUGCGUCUGUAUCUUCAGCAAUGUGGUAGUUGGAUUAAGCAAUUCUAAGAAAGCCAGCUACGUUUUUCUGUGCAGAGAUGAAACCAAUAUAAUGGUUGGAAUUUUUUAUAUGGUGUAUGAAUUAUUGUGGUUUGUUCCUAUGAUUUCACAUGGCUUGAAUUAUAUUUCAUUGCUGUGUGGGUUUUAUACUAGUAUUUUGGAAUGACUGUGUGAUGCCCAUUUUUGCUAUAUGUGUAAUUCAAGAGGCUUUUUUCCAUAAUCAUCAUAGCAUUCCAUCUUGUUUCUGGGAUUUUGAAAUAUGUUUAAGAUUAGGUUAAUUAAAGUUUCAAGCACAGAAAGGCAUUGAUUUGCCUUGAUAAGAGUUAUCAGUCAGUAACUAAAUUAAAAAGGUUAUAUUUUUGUGAUCUUGGCAUAUCUGAAAGGCAUUAGGAUAAAAACUACCUGAUCUCUAGUCCUAGAUUCACUAUAAACACAUCGGAGAUAGGUACAAUACAAUUUUCUCCUACUCUGACCAUGGAUGAAGUUUGAAAUUAUAAAACUAACUUGACUCUCCUGCUUGAAACAAAGAGAGCUCCAUCUAUUGACACCAUCAUGGGAUCCUGGCCACAGCAGGCAGGAGGACAGACAUACAUAAAGGGCUCAUUUGUCUCCUUUUAUGUAUGCCUUAUGCAGUAAGAAAGAAAUAAUUUCUGUGCUGAGACUGAUAUAACAAACUGGUCCUGAGUUGUUUUUUCAGAUCCACAUUAUUAUUUGUGCUUUGGAAGCUUGCUUUGCAACCACAGACUUGGGCAUUUUUUUAAAAUUAUUUUUAUUUUUUCUUUAAUGCUGGCAGUCAUGGUACAGACGUCUUUAGAGAACAUUGUCACUUUUCCCACACAAUAUCUAUUUUUCGAUUAGUGACUGAUAGAUAAUUCAUUUUUGAUGCUUCUCUCUCUCCUCAGACUGUAGUGCCAUUGAUGGUAGUUUUCCGGUGGGAACAUUUGUUUACAAAGUGAAGUACUUAUAUGACCAAGCAUUUUCUAAAGUUCAUGUGAUAAUGAGUACUGACUUGAAUAUGCCUUGAUCCCCACAGUUCUGCAUUUCAUUGCAAUUUCCUGAACCCUCCAGCAUCUGCAUUGUUUAUUUUGAAACACAUAUGUAUGUCUUUCACACACUAUAUAUAUUGAUCUUUCAUGGGGUUUUUAGAAUUGCCUUUUGAGUUCAGUUUUACUGAAUUCCUACUGAAUUGGUUGGAGUCAAAUUUUGCCCAGAGGAUUUGGUUCAUUGGAUUGUGGUCUUCAACAAAUCUCCAGUCAUAAGUACUAUAGCCAGUUGCUAUAUUCUGAUGCUUUGGUAUUAGGAAGUAGAUUUUAAAGCAAUAUAAAUAAAAUGGCAAAGUCCAAGACACUUUCAUUUAAAAGAGUAGAAUGUUAUUGCUGUGUUAGCCAAGAAGAACAGCAUGUGGGGAAGUCAUGUCAUUUUAUAAUCUUUUCUUGCCAGAGAAGAUGCCUGUAAUUUUCAGCCAUUAUUUUCCUGUGUUUUACAAACAAAAUUAAGCUAUAGCAUUAUAUAUUGUUCUAGGUGCAACGUUUAUGUAACAUGUAAUUUAUGUAUGUCUCUCCUGAAUUUCUUUCCACAUCCUGUGUUGUCUCAUACUCACUCUCUACUGGAAAUAAAAAGAAUUGCUUCAUUGAUUUGCACUUGCUUUGUAAGUUCUUGAUUAGAUUAGAACAUUCCCUUUUCCAAUUUAUUUUAAGUUUGAGAAAAAGGAUUAAAAAAAUGAAAUGC